rnacentral:rRNA from 1 species
AGGAUCAUUAACGAAUCGUAAGUCGGUCGACCGUGCUGGCAGAGAUGCAAGUGCACGUCGGUCGCAAACCAUCCACACACCCGUGAACCUAUGGCCUUCCGGGUCUUCUCGACUCGGGGGGCAAAACCCAUUUUUUACUCUGAUCGUAAAGGAAUGUUACCUGUGCUAUAUGCGCAAAAGCAAACAACUUUCAACAACGGAUCUCUUGGCUCUCGCAUCGAUGAAGAACGCAGCGAAAUGCGAUAAGUAAUGUGAAUUGCAGAAUUCAGUGAAUCAUCGAAUCUUCGAACGCACCUUGCACCCUUUGGUAUUCCGAAGGGUACACCCGUUUGAGUGUCAUUGUAAUCUCACCCCCGGAAUUUGUUUUCUGGGAGUGGACUUGGACGUUUGUCGUGUGUCAUGGCUCGUCUGGAAUGUCUCAGUGUAUCCCGCUCGUCGGCGUUAAACAGUGUGAUAGGUAUCUUCACUGGUAAGCCUCUCCGGAGGUGCGCUCUCGAGUGGGUCAUGCUGCCAACCGUCUUCGGACAAGACUUCUGACAAUUUGACCUCAAAUCGGGUGGGAUUACCCGCUGAACUUAA